rnacentral:rRNA from 1 species
UACGAAGGGGGCUAGCGUUGUUCGGAUUUACUGGGCGUAAAGCGCACGUAGGCGGAUCGUUAAGUCGGGGGUGAAAUCCUGGGGCUCAACCCCAGAACUGCCUUCGAUACUGGCGAUCUUGAGUCCGGAAGAGGUGAGUGGAACUCCUAGUGUAGAGGUGGAAUUCGUAGAUAUUGGGAAGAACACCGGUGGCGAAGGCGGCUCUCUGGACCGACACUGACGCUGAGGCGCGAAAGCGUGGGGAGCAAACAGG